rnacentral:hammerhead_ribozyme from 1 species
AUCCUACUGACGAGUCCUAAAUAGGACAAAAAGCGCGUCACACUGCAU